CUCUACGGGACGCAGCAGUGGGGAAUAUUGCACAAUGGGGGAAACCCUGAUGCAGCGACGCCGCGUGAGUGAAGAAGUAUUUCGGUAUGUAAAGCUCUGUCAGCAGGGAAGAAAAUGACGGUACCUGACCAAGAAGCCCCGGCUAACUACGUGCCAGCAGCCGCGGUAAUACGUAGGGGGCAAGCGUUAUCCGGAUUUACUGGGUGUAAAGGGAGCGUAGACGGCAGCGCAAGUCUGGAGUGAAAUGCCGGGGCCCAACCCCGGAACUGCUUUGGAAACUGUGCGGCUCGAGUGCGGGAGAGGGG
rnacentral:rRNA from 1 species